rnacentral:lncRNA from 1 species
CUGAAUGGUGUGGCGCAGAGGGACCAGGAGGAUAACCGGCUGGUGGAUAACCACUAGGAGGAUAACCGGCUGGUGGAUAACCACCUGGUGGAUGACCACCUGGUGGAUGACCACCUGGUGGAUAACCACCUGGUGGGUAACCACCAGGUGGGUAACCACCAGGUGGGUAACCACCAGGUGGGUAACCACCAGGUGGGUAACCACCAGGUGGGUAACCACCAGGUGGGUAACCACCUUGAGGAUAACCUGCUGGAGGGUAUCCCUGUGGAGGGUAUGAUCCAGGUGGGUAUUGUCCUGGAGGGUAUCCAGGGACACCGUGACCAUACCCAUGGCCAUGACCAAAAAGACCCUUAUCAUGGUCAUCAUGUUUGUCCUUGUCUUUACCACCUCCCAUGUUACUGAGUUAUAA